CCUACGGGUGGCAGCAGUGGGGAAUAUUGCACAAUGGGGGGAACCCUGAUGCAGCAAUGCCGCGUGGGUGAAGAAGCACUCCGGUGCGUAAAGCCCUGUCAGCAGGGAAGAAAAUGACAGUACCUGGACAAGAAGCCCCGGCUAACUACGUACAAUCAGCCGCGGUAAUACGUAGGGGGCAAGCGUUAUCCGGAUUUACUGGGGGUAAAGGGAGCGCAGGGGGGGUGGCAAGUCAGAUGUGAAAACCAGGGGCCCAACCCCGGGAGUGCAGUUGAAACAGCCAUGCUGGAGUGCCGGAGAGGUAAGCGGAAUUCCUAGUGUAGCGGUGAAAUGCGGAGAUAUUAGGAAGAACACCAGUGGCGGAGGCGGCUUACUGGACGGUAACUGACGCUGAGGCUCGAAAGCGUGGGGAGCAAACAGGAUUAGAUACCCGGGUAGUC
rnacentral:rRNA from 1 species